UUUUUUUUAAACUGUUGUUUUUUCCCCCUGAUUGUAGUUGUAACACAAACUAAAGUAAAACCUUCUUAAGCAUGUGCAUGUGCAUUGUGCAACGUAACUAUGAAAUCUUUUAGUGAGGAAAUAGACACAUCCAAUUUAAAAAAAACUUUUAGUGAAUGCUCCUGUUUCUUCAAUCAUUAAGCGGCGGGGAUAACGAAUUGACACAUCCAAGUAAUCAC
rnacentral:lncRNA from 1 species